rnacentral:rRNA from 1 species
GACGAACGCUGGCGGCGUGCUUAACACAUGCAAGUCGAACGCUGAAGCUCAGCUUUUGUUGGGUGGAUGAGUGGCGAACGGGUGAGCAACACGUGAGUAACCUGCCCCCUUCUUUGGGAUAACGCCCGGAAACGGGUGCUAAUACUGGAUAUUCACUGGUCUUCGCAUGGGGGUUGGUGGAAAGGGUUUUUCUGGUGGGGGAUGGGCUCGCGGCCUAUCAGCUUGUUGGUGGGGUGAUGGCCUACCAAGGCUUUGACGGGUAGCCGGCCUGAGAGGGUGACCGGUCACAUUGGGACUGAGAUACGGCCCAGACUCCUACGGGAGGCAGCAGUGGGGAAGAUGGCACAAUGGGCGCAAGCCUGAUGCAGCGACGCCGCGUGAGGGAUGGAGGCCUUCGGGUUGUGAACCUCUUUCGCUCAUGGUCAAGCCGCAACAAUGGUUGUGGUGAGGGUAGUGGGUAAAGAAGCGCCGGCUAACUACGUG